rnacentral:tRNA from 1 species
ACCUUCGUAGUUUAAUGGAUAAAAUUUCUGAUUCCGGUUCAGAAGAUGGCAGUUCGAUUCUGCUCGAAGGUUC